GCCUCCCCUCUCUUCUGCUCUGCCCUUCCAGGUCAAGCAGGCUGGAGAACUACAGUCCCCUUGCUGCGGCAGCUGUGAGCCUGCCGGGGCCCUCCCUGGCUUACAAAGUUGGGAGUGUGGUGUCGGGAAGCCCUCCGGGCCCCAGCAGCCCCAGGAGAGGCUCGAGGCCCGGCAGGGCUGCCGCUGGAAAGGGAGUAAAAGCCGGUUGCAUCAGAGCAACUCGCCCGAGAGCCGCCGGCGGGCACGGCGACAAGCGCUAACACAAAUUACAAACAGAAACUGCAAAACUGUUAGUCCGUGGGAGCCCCCUGCCAAGAUCAGAGCGGUCCGCACGGAUACGAUUUAUAGGUAACUAGACCAAGCGUCCACUUCGUCAGGAGCGGGUCGCCUGGAGGCCCUUCAGUUUGGGUCACCCGUGUGUCCCUGGGCAACGUGCUCAUCGCGGUACUAGAAGCUGAGGACACACGGUGAGCUCCUCCCCUCAUGGGCCAGGUUCACAGGCAGGUACCUUCCAACCCAUCUGGGACGCGGAAAGAGCCAAGGGAGCGGGGAGGAGGGGCCGCCGACUCACCGGGCCGGUGGGCGGGGCCUCGGAAGAGCAACUUGAGGCGAGGCUCGCGGGUCCAAAGGACUUCCCCAGGUGAGCGGGAGGAAGGAAAGGGUAUUCCCAGCAGGGGGAGCUCUCCUUUUGUACAUUGCAUGGAACUCAGGUGGGAGAUGGAAAGGAAGCCAACAGGGGAAGAAAAAGGAUUGCCUACUCUGCCUUUUCAAUGUCUCUCACCCGGCUCUGAUUCCUGAAGAGAGAGAGAAGGACACACUGAAGGACGGUUUCUAGCAGCUUAAAGGAGUGGGGAAAAAAAAAAACUGAAUCGAAAGGCAAAGAUCCUUCAAGAAGCCCUAAAGAGUGGUCUUUGCUCCUUACCUUGACUCCCCGCAAUCACCUAAAUCCAGGAGAAACUGAGAUGCCCUAGAAGCUCCCCUCUGCAACUGGAAUCAGGAAUAAAGUCAACACAGAGAAUCAGAGUAAAGCAGUACUAGGAGUACCGGGUUUGUUUGCAGGCUUCCCUAUUGUUGGAAAAAGAUGGUUUAUUUGAUUUACACUCAGGAGUUAUUUUUCUAGCACCAAGUAACUCAAGGGAGCCUUUUUAUGCUCAACUACGAGUAAAUAAAACAGUAAU